GGGGAUGUAGAUCAAUUGGUAGAUCGCUCGCUUUGCAUGCGAGAGGUACCGGGAUCAAAACCCAGCAUCUCCA
rnacentral:tRNA from 1 species